rnacentral:tRNA from 1 species
UUACUAGUGGCAGAAAUAAUGCACAAGACUUAAGAUCUUGAUAAGGAUAGUUUUCCCUAGUAAUCC